GAUGAACGCUGGCGGCGUGCCUAAUACAUGCUAGCCGAGCGAACAGACGAGGAGCUUGCUCCUCUGACGUUAGCGGCGGACGGGUGAGUAACCCGUGGAUAACCUACCUAUAAGACUGGGAUAACUUCGGGCAACCGGAGCUAAUACCGGAUAAUCUUUUGAACCGCAUGGUUCCAUAGUGAAAGACGGUUUUGCUGUCACUUAUAGAUGGACCCGCGCUGCAUUAGCAAGUUGGUAAGGUAACGGCUUACCAAGGCACCGGUACGGAGCCGACCUGUACGGGUGAUCGGCCACACGGGAACUGAGACACGAUCCAGACUCCUAAGGGAGGCAGCAGUGGAGUAUCUGCCGCAAUGGGCGAAAGCCUGACGGAGCAACGCCGCGUGAGUGAUGGAGGUCUUCGGAUCGUAAAACUCUUUUGUUAGGAAAGAACAAAUAUGAAAGUAACUAUGCACGUCUUUACGAUACCUAAUCAGAAAACCACGGCUAACUACGUG
rnacentral:rRNA from 1 species